rnacentral:lncRNA from 1 species
AUGACUGUUAGAGUGUGUGUGGUCAUGGCAGUGGCUUUUUGUUGUUUCUGCUUCAGGCUGCAGAAGAUGGGCUGUUCCUGUAGUACUUCUUCUGACGAGUGGAGUGACAGCGACAGCGACAGCAGUCUGCCAGAACUCCCACCCUUCGUUAGACGGAGCACGAAGACGGUGGAGCUGAGGCAGCACACCUCCGCAGUAACCCAGCAUGCAUGCUUGGAUGAGGAGGUUAAAGGAGACGGCAGUGGCACAUGUGAGGAACCCCUGGAAUCACAUCCCCGUGUGGCGCUGCCCAGACUGAGCACAGACGGAGAGGAAAACACUCUCGAUGGGUCAAAGCCGUCCAAACCGGUCCAGUCAACUCUUGUUGGGCCACCGUCCGUUGCCUUCAUGGUGACUGAGGCAUCAGGUGACCAGCAGAGGCCGAUGGUAGAUCCAGAACCGCAACACGACGAUAAGGACGGCGAGGAGGUCCGUGUUGUACUGACGGAUCCACAUCAGGCGUUCAAAACAAAGACCCACAGCUGCAUCCGUCCCAUCGAUGCUGAUGAUCUCGAGCAAGAGCAGAACCAGUGUCCAACAGAUGAGUCUGGUCCAUCCACAGUUCUGAAAACCAGUUUAUUACCACCACCUAUUGAACCAGAAACCAGUUUAUUACCACCACCUCCUGAACCAGACACUGGUUUAUUACCACCACCUCCUGAAUCAGAAACUGGUUUAUUACCACCUCCUCCUGAACCAGCAACUGGUUUAUUACCACCUCCUCCUGAACCAGCAACUGGUUUAUUACCACCACCUCUUGAACCAGACACUGGUUUAUUACCACCACCUCCUGAACCAGACACUGGUUUAUUACCACCACUUCCUGAACCAGACACUGGUUUAUUACCACCACCUCCUGAAACAGAAACCAGUUUAUUACCACCACCUCCUGAACCAGACACUGGUUUAUUACCACCACCUCUUGAACCAGACACUGGUUUAUUACCACCACUUCCUGAACCAGAAACUGGUUUAUUACCACCACCUCCUGAACUGUCUCUAUUGAGCGAGGUCAAUGUGCGUCUGACCACGGGAUCCUCGCCACAUAUCGGUCAACAAACUCACCGUGGAUUCACCAAAUCCCAGAUUGACUGGCAGGACAAUGUGGAGCUCCAACGUCCGUGGCUUCCUGUGAAUUCCCGCGUAAGGAAAAUCCCAAGCCGAGAUGAGGGCGAUGGUCCCUCAGUCUCAAUUUGCUUUUAUAACACACCCGAAGACCUGGGCCCCCCGAGACCUGAGCGUCACCAUGUUGGCACUCAAACUUUGCCCCCUGGUGCUGGUGGAGAUGCUUCCACUCCAUCUUCCAAGAUUCACUCCGUCUGUCCUGAGCGGCGGGUGAUAGCUGAAGGGGGCGACAGCGGGGACAAGCCCAAGGCAACGGUGUGGACCCAGGGCACACCCAAGGCUGAGUUCCCCCAGAGGGGGGGCGGUGUGGACACCCCAGGGCCAGUGUUGGAGCUCCAGCCCUCCAAGGCUCAGAAUUGUGGGCCAAUGUUGAAUCGGGGUCUGGAGCAGAGAUCAAAGACCAAGGCCGACCACCAACCAGCUCAUCCGCCAGGACAGCAAGUAAGUUUUGGGUGUUGACUUGUUUUUGAUGCUUAAUUUGAUGCUCGAUUUAAUUGUGUCCAUUCAUGUUACUCAUUCAUAAAGUGAAUGUCCUGAUUGGUCACAGACACAUCAACAUUUAUCAGGUUUAAGACCCCCGACAGGACAAAUACCCCAGGUUAUAGCAGACCUGUUCAAAGAUGCUCAAGGUGGAAACUAAAUCCUUCUGCUCUGACUUUUCAGGUGGGCUCCAAACUGACCUACGCACAGGUCUUGAUGAUGCCCCCAUGUAAGCGUGCCCCACCCCCAGACCUUAGCCCCCCCUACCCAGAACAAGAGCCCCAACCAGCUGGGACUCGCCGUCCACUAAAGCUGAGAUAUGCAAGGCUGUGAACGGAGCGCUAUGGAUAUUUGGUUUUUAGUCUUUACAAAAGAAGCUGAACAAAAUCAACUCUUCAAUUGCUGCUUUAGGAGAUAUUUUUCUUUAGUUUGUUUAGGUCUUUUUUUUUUAAAAAAAAUCCAGGUUCUGUUCCCAUGUUUGAUUGUUCCAGUUUUUUUCUUUUAACACACCUGCAUAAUUGAUGCUCAUAAUUCUGAUUUCUUCUAUUAAAAAG